UAAGGGCUAACUUGGAAUUAAAGUAUUCAUAAGUGAAAACUUUACAAAUUCCAAAACUUGAGGGCAAGUUUUGAAACUAUUCAAAACUAAUUAAUUCCAUAACUUAUGUGUUUAAAGUAGUUUUAAUCCAAAAACUCUUCAAGUUCCAUAACUUGAGGACAAGUUAUGGAAGACUUUAAACUAAUAAAAGAACUAACUUUUUCUUUAUUUUAUAACUUAUGGAUUUAAUUAUGGUUACAUAUUUUCCUUUAAUGAAGUGACUCUUGAACUUCCAUAACUUGAGGACAAGUUAUGGAGUCAAAAAAAAUUAUUCAAUGACACAAGACUCUUCAUUUUGUAACCAUUGCCAACUUUUAUGAAUUUUAUGAGUCUUUAAUGUGACUCUUCAUGUAACUUGAGGACAAGUUACACAAACACAUUUUAUACUCAACUCUUAGAUUAAAAUGGAUUGAAAACAACUAUUUCAAUUAACUUUUCUAUUAAUCUAAGCAACUCAUAAGAACAAGAUAAUUCAAAUCAAACUUUUUCAUGUAAUUAGUCUAAACCUUAAACUAAUACAAAACAUGAAUCUACUGACAAUUAUCUUUGAAAAUGGAUUAGCAUGAACAUUACCACAUCAAAAACAAGUUUAUAAGUUCAAAACAUCUUAGGGUAAUGUUCCUAGUCUAAUUCCGGCCAAAAAGGUCAAAUUUAUGCUGUCUGGGGGUCCAACUCGUCGAGUGCACGAACCAACUCAGCGAGUUGGAUGCUUUUUGCCUUGGAAUCGGUGAGUCCAUUCAUGGACUCGGUGAGUCUGCUGGGCAGACAACAUCAAAACUCGAUUUUCCAGCUUCUUUUGCAUGUAUAACAAGAAAACAAGCCUAGUCUCUGAUACCACUGUUGGGUUAUGGGCAUUCUAACACUCCUAAGUGUACAUGCAACACUAAAUACCUUGAAUCUAUGUUUUCUCUAUUAUACAUGAAAAGAAGAACUUCCAAGGUAUUAUCCUAAUCUAGCAUACAAAACUAUCAAUAUAACAAGAUAAAAUACAUACCUCUUUGAUGUAGAAUGUCUUCAUGAAGCUUGAGUGCCUAGUACCCCAAGUGUGACACCUCAAAUGGUUCACACAACACCAAAUACACUUGGAAUAACUUGAGAGAAAUCCACAACUCAUGAAAUCGNUACAUGCAACCCUAAAUACCUUGGAUCUAUGUUUUCUCUAUUAUACAUGCAAAUAAGAACUUCCAAGGUAUUAUCCUAAUCUAGCAUACAAAACAAUGACUAUAGCAAGAUAGAAUACAUACCUCUUUGGUGUAGAAUGUCUUCAUGAAGCUUGAGUGCCUAGUGCCCCAAGUGUGACACCUCAAAUGGUUCACACAACACCAAAUACACUUGGAAUAACUUGAGAGAAAUCCACAACUCAUGAAAUCGGCUAGCCCUUAUUUUUACACACUCUAG
rnacentral:lncRNA from 1 species